AUUGAACGCUGGCGGCAGGCCUAACACAUGCAAGUCGAACGAGUGGCGGACGGGUGAGUAAUGUAUGGGAAACUGCCCGAUGGAGGGGGAUAACUACUGGAAACGGUAGCUAAUCCCGCAUACCAUCGGAUGUGCCCAGAUGGGAUUAGCUCGUAGGUUGGGUACAGGCUCACCUAGGCGACGAUCCCUAGCUGGUCUGAGAGGAUGACCAACCACAAUGGAACUGAGACACGGUCCAGACUCCUACGGUAGGCAGCAGGGGGGAAUAUUGCACAAUGAGCGCAAGCCUGAUGCAGCCAUGCCGCGUGUAUUAAGAAGGACUUCGGGUUGUAAAGUACUUUCAGCGAGGAGGCGUUACUCGCAGAAGAAGCACCGGCUAACUCCGUGCCAGCAGCCGCGGUAAUUC
rnacentral:rRNA from 1 species